GGAUGUGAAGACAGUAUGGCUAUGACAUCUGCCAUCCCAUUGAUCACCAGGAUUGAGUCAGCUGAUCUGACUGGCUAGACAGGUGUCCUCUUCCUCCCCACCACUCCAUGUGCAUCCCUCCCAAAGCUGAGCUCUUAGUUAAAGUGGUCAAUGGUCCCUUGAUAGUGUAGCUGUAGUUUCCUGUUAGAACCUUCAAAACAAGAAAGAAAGAAAGAAAGAAAGAAAGAAAGAAAGAAAGAAAGAAAG
rnacentral:sRNA from 1 species